rnacentral:rRNA from 1 species
UACAGAGGGUGCGAGCGUUAAUCGGAAUUACUGGGCGUAAAGAGCGCGUAGGCGGUCAUGUAAGUCAGGUGUGAAAGACCUUAGCUUAACUAAGGAACUGCAUUUGAUACUGCAUAACUAGAGUAUGGUAAAGGAAAGUGGAAUUUCCGGUGUAGCGGUGAAAUGCGUAGAUACCGGAAGGAACACCAGUGGCGAAGGCGGCUUCUG